UGCUUUUUGGAGGGAAUUCCUGCAAAACCAAAUUUCUCUUGUAUGUAUGUAGCUUUUCUAUGCAGAAAAAAGGAGUAAGGAAAAAUUGCCAGGGCAGCUUCUGCUAACCUCAAGACAACGAAUGCUAACAGGAUUUACACCAGCAAGCAGUUCUCUAGCAAAUUCCUCAUCAGAACUCCAAGCUAACUCAUUCACUUGAAUCACUUGAGGCAUAGGAAAUUUCCUAUCGCUUCCAAAUAUCACAUUAAGUAUUUCCAGGGUAAUGUUUUUUCCUUUGCUGAUGUGCAAAGGACCGUCAGGUAGCUUAAUUCCUUCUUCAUAGAUAGUUAACACAUCUUUGUAGGAGUCAAACUCUCUAUCAAAUAGAGAUUUUAGCUCAGGUCCAAUCAAUUGACGUAUAGAUUUCAAUGAAUUAACAAGGAAGUCUUUGUUCUUGGAGGGACUAAAUCGUUCAUCCCUUGGCACAUAAAUGCUUAAGCUCUCAGGAAGAGGUAGCCUGCUCUCAUUGCAAGGAUCUGAAUCCACUGGUCCCCUGCCUGUUCUCACUCUGCGAGGAUAAGGGUGAUCAGUAGACCCUCCUAGAACUGGACGAGCAUGUUUCUGAUCUCCAAGGUCAUUGUAAUAGGCAUAGUCAUAGGCCCUGUCAGCUUCCUGGAGCUCUCCUUUUCCAUCUCCUCUUAAAAUCUCUAGUUCUUCUUCUCUGUACUUUCGCAAUGGCAUUGGAGUCUUAUAGGGAAGGUAUGUCAUGUUAGAGAAGAAGACACGAUCUUUUUUGUAAAAUUUGGCAGGGUAAACCCACGAGUUGCAAUCAAAGUGGAUGGAGCCAUGACCAGGGACAUGUUCAAGUGUGAGAGUCUUGAGGUAGAAUUCAUCAUGGUGAUCAUUUCUUACAGUAAAUGCCCCUGGAACUCCAAUUUCCUCUUCCCAAUCAAAGGUAAUCUGGAAUUGCACUUCACCUUCUUUAAGUGGAGUAGACAUAGUAGUAUUGCGCUUUUCCAAGUAAGCUGGACGCCCUAUUUUCCCUCUCUGCCCAUCUUCAGGAUCACAAUUAAUGGCACUAAUGAGCUGCAGGGAGACUUUUUUACCCGUCAGCUUAUCAAAGAAAUCAUGAAGAAUGUUCAAAACAUUCUUCUUGAUCAAAACAAUAGCAGUGCCUUGAAUCUUGCUGCAUUGACUUAUCUCACAUUUCAUUUUCUUUCUGCCAUUUUCUCCAGUAACCACUUGAAUGAUGUUGUGAGACAUAUUUGUUUUGCUUCAGAAACAAACGAUUAAUUUGUCAGAGAGGUUGGCAUUUGAUUUGAGCAAAGCUUUGGCUACUUAUGGGGAAUUAAUCUAGACUCUGAGAAUGCCUCACCAGGGAAAGUCCUACUCAUUUGCAUUUGUUAAAGACUUCCAGGAAAGUCCUGAAUUAAUUGUAUCCAUCUACCAGAAUGACUUCAGAUAAGGUAUUUGUCCUUUUCAAUUUAAUUGGAAAAAAAAA
rnacentral:misc_RNA from 1 species